rnacentral:lncRNA from 1 species
UUUUUUUUUUUUUUUUUUUUUUAGAAUAGUCACAUUUUAAAUGCUUAAUAGCCAUAUGUGCCUUAUGACCACUUUACUGGACAGUGCAGCUAUAGAACAUUUUCAUCACCAUUGGAAAUAUCUAUUAGAUAGUGCUGGAGACAACACUAAUGAGUCCACCUGUGAUCACCUGAUUAUCUUGGGGAUGUAAUUUUGCUUGAUCUGUUAUGUUUUAUUAAUUAGGGUCCCAAGUCUUUAAAAAGGUAGACGUUAAUGGAGAACAAACUGACAGUUGCCAGAGGGGAGUGGGGUGGAGUAUGAGCAAAAUGGGUGAAGGAAUGUAGGAGGUAAACGCUUCCAGUUAUAGAAUGAAAAAAUCACAGGGAUAAAAGGUACAGCAUAGGGAAUAUAGUGAAUGGUAUUGAAAUAGUGUUGUCGGUGACAGAUGGUAGCCCCUCUGUGGUGAGCACAGCAUGACAUAUAGAGUUGUCAAACCACUGUGCUGUACACUUGAAAUCAUUGUGACAUUGUGUAUUGACUACAUUUUUUUUAGAAAACUCAAGAAAGUAGAUAAUGUCUACAAGAUUGUUACAUCAAAAUUGUUUCUAUCCUAUAGAGAUAAAGAUGAUUUAUGUCCAACAGAAAAUAACCCUAAAUGUUUGGUUUUAUUGUUCUGUAGAGCAUUAGCCAGUUUUCUAUUCUCUCUCUUUUUUAAAAAAGAUUUUAUUUAUUUAUUCAUGAGAGAUGCACAGAGAGGCAGAGACACAGGGAGAGGGAGAAGCAGUCUCUCCACAGGGACCCCGAUGCAGGACUCAAUCCCAGGACCCUAGGAUCACAACCUGAGCCAAAGGCAGACGCUUAACCACUGAGCCACCCAGGCAUCCCCAAGUUUUCUAUUCUCUAUCUUUGCAAUCUCAUCCAGCAUUCUUUUCUUCUGCUGGUCACACACACACACACACACACACACACACACACACACACACAGUCUUGUAUCCUCUCCUCUGAACCAGCUGGUUCCCUCAUAAAUGAGGUAAGUAAAUCUUCAACAUUGUAUGUUUGUAUAGAGAUCAUGUUUCUAACUUUUAAAAAUUUGUACUGUGACAGGGUCAAACUUUAAAUUUAUACUUUUGGCAAAUGAUUUAACCUAUGAAGCCUCAGUUUACUCAUUUAUAAAAUAAGGAAUAAUUUCUAAAACAGGGACUUUCCUCAUUGGGUUCUCGAGAUUUAAAUGGGACAACAAAUAUUAAAUAACAUAAUUCUUGGUAUGUUAAAAUGGGUAGAUGAAUGUUAGGUGUUCUUGGUGUGUUAAAAUGGGUAGAUAAAUGUUAGGUGUUCAUUAUUUAAGGAGGCUUUCUCAACAGUAUUCCUAGAUGUCUAAGCAUCUCAGUUCUUACUCUCAUGUAGUUUCAUUCAAAGGGUGGAAGUUCCAAAUGUAUUCUAGUCACAAUGCCUGUAUCUCCCGACUUUGGCUUCACUCCAUGUGCACUCAGCACCUUUUCAUCCUUUGUGCAACAAUAGGAGAAGUUUUCUGGCCCAUAUCUGGCUUCAAAUUUUGAAAGAAAGUCUUCCAGGCCGAGAACAACUAAAAAUCUGAUGCCCUGCUCUGCUCUCCCUCCGCCUUCUACUCUUUCCUGCCAGCAGAAGUCACUGACUCUCGGGCUUCCUGCCUUGUACUAUAAACACUUCUUCCAGCUGCUGCCUGUGUUCACUCAAGGUUUAACUAUUUAAUUGCUAGCGACCCUUUUUCCAGAGCAAUGCACAUACAACAUUCGUAUCCUCUAGGUUGGAGAAUUGUUCACAGGAUCUCUCUUCCCAUUCCCUGAAGCCUCUUUAUGCAUUCCACUAUGACCAUUUGUACCAGUCAUAUGUAAAAGUAAAUUUUUGUUGUUGCUGAUUCUGGGAAUGAUACCAAAAAUUAUUUUCCUAUAGCUCAGCUUAUCAAGGAUCUUCAAUGUGUGUAACACUGUAAUUUAUCUAUCCUAUAAGGAACGAAACAACAAGGAAAAGUGAGAGGAAGAUUUUGUUCUCCAUUUUUCAAAGUUUAUACAAGCAGACUAAGAAAACUCAAUCUAGAGUAUAACUUGACAGGGUCUUGGCACAGCAGCACAGUUCAGAUUUGCAAUAAAGAUAAUAAAGACAGUGUUGAGUUUAGAGAGAGAAUAAAAUAGAGAUGUCCAGGAGAGAUCAACUGACCAUUCAAACAGAGCUUUAUAGAGUGGCUCUCCAAGGUCCACAGGGUAGCUCUCAGCUUUAUGGGCUCCAAAACUCCAUUUUUGGUUUAAACAUUAGAAUCUUAUAAGGAAGUUUGCUCAGAUAUCUGCAAAUUGAAGGAUAAUAUGUUUUAAUUUCAGUGAUACUGGAGUGGAAAGAGGUAAGGAAAGCUUGAAUUCAGUUUGAAGCUAAAUACUCACAUCCUGCCUUUGACUCACAGCACUUCGUGUUAACACUUAUUUUCAUCACAGAACUUAUAUUCUACUUACAUUUUGAGUUGUACCUGAAAAUAAACAAGCUGUCCUCAAUGCAUCGUCAAAUGGCAAUACUUCUUCUUAGAAUAUUAAUAAUAGACAAAUAUCUAGGUAUUAGGUCAAUUUCAGGUGUAUCAACCUCAAUCCUGCAUUUCCCAGCUAUAAAACUUGGGGCAAGUUACUUAACCUCCCUGUGCCGUUUCCUCAUCAGGUAGGGAUUGUUGUGAGGGUUAAAUGAAUCAAUACGUGAGGAGCACUUAGUGUCUGCUACCAUGCAAGCACUCAGUGUUAACUGUGUUAGUUUUAUUGUUAUUAUUCUUCUUAUUAAGUCAUUUUACCUGCAAUCACUCAGUGUGCUCAGAUUGUGACUUUUGAACAUUUGUAUAGAAGUUAGCAUACUGUGGGGAUCCCUGGGUGGCGCAGCAGUUUGGCGCCUGCCUUUGGCCCAGGGCGCGAUCCUGGAGACCCGGGAUCGAAUCCCACGUCGGGAUCCCGAUACAUGGAGCCUGCUUCUUCCUCUGCCUAUGUCUCUGCCUCUCUCUCUCUCUCUCUGUGUGACUAUCAUAAAUCAAUAAAAAAAAAUUAAAAAAAAAGAAGUUAGCAUACUGUAACUAUGAUUGGGGGUAUUCAAUAUCAGGCUGUCAUCCUGAGUAAAGGCAAUGGAGUCAGUCUCACGUUUUUAAAUAGAGAAGCAAAGCUUGAAGGGGUAAUUUUAUUAUAGUUUUAUUAUUUUAAAAUGUGACAAUUCUAAAGUCUAUUCUCUAGUAAAAACCAAGUUCUAAACCAAAUGUUAACUCUAUGUAUUCGCCUGCUAGGGUUGCCUCAACAGAAUACCAUAGAUUGGAGAGCUAAAACAAAAGAAAUUUGUUUUUUCCUCUCCACAGUUGUGAGGCAUGGAAGUCCAAGAUUAAGAUGCUGUCAACGCAGGUUUCUGAUAAGACCUCUGGAUGGCCACCCCUGUGCUAUUUCCUCACCUAACCCUCUCCCUGCACUCACACAACUCUGGUGGUCUCUUUACCUUCUUACAGGGGCACCAGUCCUCUUGGAUUAGGACUCUACCCUUACGACCUCCUGUAGCCUUAAUUACUUCCUUAUAGGUCCUAUCUCCAAAGAGUGUCUCACUGAGGUUUAGAGCUUCAACAUAUGAAUGGGAGGAGGGGGUGUCUCACUUCACAACACUCUGCCUCAGUCCCUUGCUUAGCAACUAACUUUUAAGGUCUCCUCACUGGUUUCAGAGAUGCUCCAACCUGAAUCAUGGUGUCUAAGGAUUAAUUCCCACCAUGCUACCACUUCCCCAUAAACUCCUUCCAUGUCUUUUUUUUUUUUUUAAGAUUUUAUUUAUUUAUUCAUGAGAGAGAGAGAGGCAGAGACACAGGCAGAGGGAGAAGCAGGCUCCAUGCAGGGAGCCCGAUGCAGGACUCGAUCCCAGGAAUCCAGGACUACGCCCCCAGCCAAAGGUAGGCACUAAACCGCUGAGCCACUAGGGUGUCCCUCCUUCCAUGUCUUAAGCAAAAUGCAUCACACGUUGUUUCGUUGUUUUGCUUGAGGUGUAUUUGGUUUUUGUCUGUACUCGUAGAGCUCCCUGCUCCUAGAAUGUCUUUCUCCAUCCUGCAUGUCCUCAUCACACCUACAUCUCAGAAUCCCGCCCAGAUGCAGCUUCUGCCAGGAAGCCUGUCCCAAUCCUCCCCAAUGGGAAUCCCUCUUUUCUCAGCGGAGCUCUCAAAGCAUGAUGUCUGUUUUUCUCAUAGCUUUAUGUUUUCUCCAUUUUAUACCAGCCCAUGCCUCAGCUCCUCUAUGAGUUGCUUGGAGACCAGGUAGUUCUGGUUCACCUGCCAUAAUCCUUCCCCACUACAGAGCCUUAUUCUACAUAGAUGCUACCAAAAUUAAAAAAAAAAAAAAAAA